rnacentral:rRNA from 1 species
GACGAACGCUGGCGGCGUGCUUAACACAUGCAAGUCGAACGGUAAGGCCCUUCGGGGUACACGAGUGGCGAACGGGUGAGUAACACGUGGGUGAUCUGCCCUGCACUUCGGGAUAAGCCUGGGAAACUGGGUCUAAUACCGGAUAGGACCACUGCCUGCAUGGGAGGUGGUGUAAAGCUUUUGCGGUGUGGGAUGGGCCCGCGGCCGAUCAGCUUGUUGGUGGGGUGAUGGCCUACCAAGGCGACGACGGGUAGCCGGCCUGAGAGGGUGACCGGCCACACUGGGACUGAGAUACGGCCCAGACUCCUACGGGAGGCAGCAGUGGGGAAUAUUGCACAAUGGGCGCAAGCCUGAUGCAGCGACGCCGCGUGAGGGAUGACGGCCUUCGGGUUGUAAACCUCUUUCAGCACCGACGAAGCGCAAGUGACGGUAGGUGCAGAAGAAGGACCGGCCAACUACGUGCCAGCAGCCGCGGUAA